CGGCGGACGGGUGAGUAACACGUGGAUAACCUACCUAUAAGACUGGGAUAACUUCGGGAAACCGGAGCUAAUACCGGAUAAUAUUUUGAACCGCAUGGUUCAAAAGUAAAAGACGGUCUUGCUGUCACUUAUAGAUGGAUCCGCGCUGCAUUAGCUAGUUGGUAAGGUAACGGCUUACCAAGGCAACGAUGCAUAGCCGACCUGAGAGGGUUAUCGGCCACACUGGAACUGAGACACGGUCCAG
rnacentral:rRNA from 1 species